rnacentral:rRNA from 1 species
AACUUCAACAACGGAUCUCUGGUUCUCGCAUCGAUGAAGAACGCAGCGAAAUGCGAUACGUAAUAUGAAUGCAGAUUUCGUGAAUCAUCGAAUCUUGAACGCACAUUGCGCCUGUGGUAUUCCACAGGCAUGCCUGUUGAGCGUCAUUCUCCUCAAACCUCUGGUUUGGCGUUGAGUGAUACUCGUUUACUUGAAAAACAUGAAAAGCAUAACUAUUAGGUUUACCAACUCGUUAUACUAAUCUACAAGUUGACCUCAAAUCAGGUAGGACUACCCGCUGAACUUAAGCAUAUCAAUAAGCGAGGAAAAGAAACCAACCGGAUUGCCUCAGUAACGGCGAGUGAAGCGGCAAAAGCUCAAAUUUGAAAUCUGCGUAAGCCGAGUUGUAAUUUGAAGAUGCUACUUGGUAAUGGCUCUUGUCUAUGUUCCUUGGAACAGGACGUCACAGAGGUGAGAAUCCCGUGCGAUGAGAUGUCCAUUACCGUGUAAAGUGCUUCGAAGAGUCGAGUUGUUGGGAAUGCAGCUCUAAGUGGGUGUAAAUUCCAUCUAAAGCUAAAUAUUGGCGAGAGACCGAUAGCGAACAAGUACAGUGAUGGAAAGAUGAAAAGAACUUUGAAAAGAGAGUGAAAAGUACGUGAAAUUGUUGAAAGGAAGGCUUGAGAUCAGACUUGUAUUGUAUGGCUUGCUUCGGGCGGGUCCUCUGCAGUUACUGGCCAGCAUCGGUUGGUGGCAGAAAUAGCAUAGGAAGUGGCUCUACUCGGUGAGUGUUAUAGCCUUUGUUGAUACGCCUGCCUAGACCGAGGACUGCGUCUUUGACUAGGAUGCUGCAUAAUGAUCCUAAGCCGCCGUCUUGAAACACGGACCAAGGAGUCUAACGUCUAUGCGAGUGUUGGUGUAAAACCCGUACGCGAAUGAAAGUGAACGUAGAUGAGAGCCUUUAGGCGCAUCAUCGACCGAUCCUGAUGUCUUCGGAUGGAUUGAGUAAGAGCAUAGCUGUUGGACCCGAAAGAUGUGAACUAUGCCUGAAUAGGGUGAAGCCAGAGGAAACUCUGUGGAGGCUCGUAGCGGUCUGACGUGCAAAUCGAUCGUCGAAUUUGGUAUAGGGCGAAAGACUAAUCGAACCAUCUAGUAGCUGGUUCCUGCCGAAGUUUCCCUCAGAUAGCAGAAGCUCGUAUCAGUUUAUGAGUAAAGCGAAUGAUAGAGGUAUGGGUGAAAUGACUUAACCUAUCCAAACUUAAAUAGUAAGAAGCCUUGUGCUAAUUGAACGUGACAUAUAAUGAAACUAGUGGCCAUUUGUAACAAACGCGAUGCGGAUGAACCGAACGCGAAGUAAAGUGCCGGAAUACACGCUCAUCAGACACCACAAAAGGUAUCAUCUAGACAGCCGACGUGCCAUGAAUCGAAUCCGCUAAGGAUGGUAACAACUCACCGCCGAAUGAACUAGCCCUGAAAAUGAUGCGCUCAAGCGUGUUACUAACUUGCCGUCAGGGUUAUAUGCCCUGACGAUAGCAGGCGUGAGGUCAGUGACGAAGCCUUGUGUAAAACUGGUCGAACGCCUCUAUGCAGAUCUGUGGUAGUAGCAAAAUUCAAAUGAGAACUUGAAGACUGAAGGGAAAGGUCCAUGUCAACAGCAUUGACAUGGUAGUCGAUCCUAAGAGAGGGAACUCCGUUCAAAGCCUGAUUUCAGGCCACCAUCGAAAGGAAUCCGUUAAAAUCCGAACUGAUAUGAUCUCACGUAACGUAACUGAAUGUGAGACUCGGCGUGGCCCGGAGAGUCCUUUUCUCUUAACACUAUCACCCGGAAUGGUUUAUCCGGAGAUGGUCUAUGGCGGAAGCGCAAUACUUUGUGCGUCCGUGCGCUACGACGGUCCUUGAAAAUCCACAGAAGAAUAUUUCAUGCCAAGUCGUACUCAUAACCGCAGCAGUCUCCAAGUUAACAGCCUCUAGUGAUAGAAAUAUAGAUAAGAAGUCGGCAAAAUAGAUCCGUAACUCGGAUAAGGAUGCUCAAGAUCGGUGAGGAGUCUGUAGCGAGACGUGGGGUUCCGCGGACGUUUCGACGGACUGCUAGAGACGCCGCUAGACCACUGCGGUGCCUGCCUCACGCUAACGAUCAACUUAGAACUGGUACGGACAAGGGAAUCUGACUGUCUAAUAAAACAUAGCAUUGCGAUGGCAGAAAGUGAUUGACGCAAUGUGAUUCUGCCCAGUGCUCUGAAUGUCAAAGUGAAAAUUCAACCAAGCGCGGGUAAACGGCGGAGUAACUAUGACUCUCUAAGUAGCCAAAUGCCUCGUCAUCUAAUUAGUGACGCGCAUGAAUGAUUAACGAGAUUCCCACUGUCCCUAUCUACAUCACGAACCACGCCAAGGAACGGCUUGGCAGAAUCAGCGGGAAAAGACCCUGUGAGCUUGACUCUAGUUGACAUUGUGAAAAGACAUAGAGGGGUAGAAUAAGGGAGCUUCGGCGCCGGGAAAUACCACUACCUCUAUAGUUUUUACUUAUCAAUAAGCGGAACGGACUCAUGUCCACUCUAGCAUAAGGCUUCGAGCUGAUCCGGUUGAAGACAUUGUCAGGUGGGAGUUUGCUGGGCGGCACAUCUGUAACGAUAACGCAGGUUCAAGGGGGCUCAUGGAGAACAGAAACUCCAUAGACAAAAGGGUAAAGCCCCCUUAUUGAUUUCAGUGUGAAUACAAACCAUGAAGUGGCCUAUCGAUCCUUUAGUCCUUCUGAAUUGAAGCUAGAGGUGCCAGAAAAGUUACCACAGGGAUAACUGGCUUGUGGCAGUCAAGCGUUCAUAGCGACAUUGCUUUUUGAUUCUUCGAUGUCGGCUCUUCCUAUCAUACCGAAGCAGAAUUCGGUAAGCGUUGGAUUGUUCACCCACUAAUAGGAACGUGAGCUGGGUUUAGACCGUCGUGAGACAGGUUAGUUUUACCCUACUGAUGAAUGUUUGCAAUAGUAAUUAACUUAGUACGAGAGGAACCGUUCAUUCGGAUAAUUGGUUUUGCGGCUGCUAUCAGGCAACGCCGCGAAGCUACCAUCCGCUGGAUUAUGGCUGAACGCCUCUAAGUCAGAAUCCAUGCUAGAAAGCGACGAUUCUUGCCUCGCACAUUUU